GGACGAACGCUGGCGGCGUGCUUAACACAUGCAAGUCGAGCGGUAAGGCCUUUCGGGGUACACGAGCGGCGAACGGGUGAGUAACACGUGGGUGAUCUGCCCUGCACUUCGGGAUAAGCCUGGGAAACUGGGUCUAAUACCGGAUAUGACCUCAUAUCGCAUGGUGUGUGGUGGAAAGAUUUAUCGGUGCAGGAUGGGCCCGCGGCCUAUCAGCUUGUUGGUGGGGUAAUGGCCUACCAAGGCGACGACGGGUAGCCGACCUGAGAGGGUGACCGGCCACACUGGGACUGAGACACGGCCCAGACUCCUACGGGAGGCAGCAGUGGGGAAUAUUGCACAAUGGGCGAAAGCCUGAUGCAGCGACGCCGCGUGAGGGAUGACGGCCUUCGGGUUGUAAACCUCUUUCAGCAGGGACGAAGCGCAAGUGACGGUACCUGCAGAAGAAGCACCGGCUAACUACGUGCCAGCAGCCGCGGUAAUACGUAGGGUGCAAGCGUUGUCCGGAAUUACUGGGCGUAAAGAGUUCGUAGGCGGUUUGUCGCGUCGUUUGUGAAAACCAGCAGCUCAACUGCUGGCUUGCAGGCGAUACGGGCAGACUUGAGUACUGCAGGGGAGACUGGAAUUCCUGGUGUAGCGGUGAAAUGCGCAGAUAUCAGGAGGAACACCGGUGGCGAAGGCGGGUCUCUGGGCAGUAACUGACGCUGAGGAACGAAAGCGUGGGUAGCGAACAGGAUUAGAUACCCUGGUAGUCCACGCCGUAAACGGUGGGCGCUAGGUGUGGGUUCCUUCCACGGAAUCCGUGCCGUAGCUAACGCAUAAGCGCCCCGCCUGGAGACCCCGACGCA
rnacentral:rRNA from 2 species